GAAAAAUCAGUAACAACUGUAUAUAUUUUAUAAAAAAUAAAAUAUUACGGGAAAAUAUUGUACUGGCUUAGCGUCAGGUAGCAGGAAUAUGGGCAAAAUCUGACAGUUAGAGGAAUAUCUCAGGGAGUGCAGCACAUGUCAGUGUUGUCAGAUGUUACACGGUAGCUGUCAUAGUUUUGACUGAUGUACAAGCACUACCUGCUCAUGUUUGCCCUUCCUUUCUGUGGAGUGCAUGCAGGUAAUACCAAAAGAAAUGAAAUCACAGAAAUUAAUGGUGCAAAUGGUUUUGCACUGCUCAAGAAAAGGAGCCACUUUUCACUCAAAGGAAUGUGGUUCAGUCACACCUCUUCAAGGAAUGAUAGCAUCUCUGUGGUUUCUAUGAACUCCAAUGUCUUCAGGAUAUCUGCUGUGAAAAUUGUGCAUCCACAAGAACUGAAGCUCUCUGGCAAUCCCUGGAGUUAAGCAAGUCUGCAUUUUGAAGUGUAUGAAAAGCAGCAUAAGAGUAUUACAAUGUUUGAAGCAGAAUUUGGUCUUGGUGUCUUUCAUUCCUUUCAGAAACUUUAUUGACUUCUAUUUCUUAAAACCUAGGUAAGGUCCUGAUUUUAAUCUCUCACUAGGACCAGCAGUGCCUUCUCUGGAUCUUUGUUCUACAACAGCACCUCAACAAGUGCUUACAUUUCACCGAAGGAAUUGCAGCAUAAGGAUACCUUUGCAGUUAAGCACAAAGUCACAUAUAUUUGUGGAUGGAUAUAAUCUACAUAUAUGCUUUAGUGCUUUGUUGAAAUAAGGCCUGCGCAGUAAAUAUAUGUAAAGAUAACAGAAUACAGGAGAAAAUCCUCAACACAUGGAAAUUGAAGCAACAUUCUUAAGUGGAGGGUAGUUUUACUGCAGGAUUCGAGGGUAAAAGCAUAAACUGAGGAGCCAUCCUUGGCAAAUCUGAGUGAGCUUUAUAUGUAUGUAUCUCUUUUGGUGUCUGCUGUUGUAAGUUGCUAAGUAUAUAUCAAUGUUCAGCUGAGUUGAAAUUUAGAGUUGCAUAUUUUGAAAGACCUUAAUGAAGAUGUCUUACUCUUUAAAAUAACCUUUUAUUAACAAUAAUGACAAAUGCAACAUUUUAUG